rnacentral:lncRNA from 1 species
UCUUAAUCCAAAAUGGCCUAAUGCUGGCACUGAAGUGUGUACAGCAUCCUUAGCAUGAGCGGACGUGGUGAAGCCUGUAUGACCAAGGUCUUGUAACUGUAACUAAUUAAAUUUUAAAAGUAAAUUCCCAAGCUCUGGACAUUCCUGCUUCACCACUGAAUGAGGAAACAUCCCCUCUAAUUAUACAAGCAACUGAACAAAGUUACACUUCAAAGGGGCUCCUGCUGGCAGCAGUCCCAUUCUUUGGCGUCCUCCUUCAAUGGCCUGAAGUCCAAUUAGACUUCACCUCAGGUAAUUCUUCAAAAGAAAAGUCUAAUAAUUUUAAUUUGAUGGCAACAUGUCAUGAAAAAAAUACAACAACCUUAAAUCUGGUAUUAACCUGUAGUGGAAAACCAGCCAGGGGAGUAUUUCCACCAGAAAGCUUGGAAUGUCUUCAAUGGAUGGGAGAGAGGAAGGAAGCCAGGCAGAGA